rnacentral:rRNA from 1 species
CACCGCGGUUAUACGAGAGGCCCAAGUUGACAGACACCGGCGUAAAGCGUGGUUAAGGAAAACUAAAACUAAAGCCGAACACCUUCAGGGCAGUUAUACGCAUCCGAAGGCACGAAGCCCCACCACGAAAGUGGCUUUAUGAACCCCUGACCCCACGAAAGCUAUGACA